rnacentral:tRNA from 1 species
GUGACCGUAGCUCAGUUGGUAGAGCAUCGGCUUGUGGUGCCGAUGGUCGCGGGUUCAAACCCCGUCGGUCACCCCA